UGAUUGAUGGUGCUUGCACCUGAUUGAUUUUGGUUGCCAACGAGUGGCGGACGGGUGAGUAACACGUAGGUAACCUGCCCAGAAGCGGGGGACAACAUUUGGAAACAGAUGCUAAUACCGCAUAACAGCGUUGUUCGCAUGAACAACGCUUAAAAGAUGGCUUCUCGCUAUCACUUCUGGAUGGACCUGCGGUGCAUUAGCUUGUUGGUGGGGUAACGGCCUACCAAGGCGAUGAUGCAUAGCCGAGUUGAGAGACUGAUCGGCCACAAUGGGACUGAGACACGGCCCAUACUCCUACGGGAGGCAGCAGUAGGGAAUCUUCCACAAUGGGCGCAAGCCUGAUGGAGCAACACCGCGUGAGUGAAGAAGGGUUUCGGCUCGUAAAGCUCUGUUGUUAAAGAAGAACACGUAUGAGAGUAACUGUUCAUAGCGUUGACGGUAUUUAACCAGAAAGUCACGGCUAACUACGUGCCAGCAGCCGCGGUAAUACGUAGGUGGCAAGCGUUAUCCGGAUUUAUUGGGCGUAAAGAGAGUGCAGGCGGUUUUCUAAGUCUGAUGUGAAAGCCUUCGGCUUAACCGGAGAAGUGCAUCGGAAACUGGAUAACUUGAGUGCAGAAGAGGGUAGUGGAACUCCAUGUGUAGCGGUGGAAUGCGUAGAUAUAUGGAAGAACACCAGUGGCGAAGGCGGCUACCUGGUCUGCAACUGACGCUGAGACUCGAAAGCAUGGGUAGCGAACAGGAUU
rnacentral:rRNA from 1 species